UACGUAGGGGGCUAGCGUUAUCCGGAAUUAUUGGGCGUAAAGGGUGCGUAGGCGGUCCUACAAGUCAGAGGUGAAAGGCUACGGCUCAACCGUAGUAAGCCUUUGAAACUGUAGGACUUGAGUGCAGGAGAGGAGAGUGGAAUUCCCAGUGUAGCGGUGAAAUGCGUAGAUAUUGGGAGGAACACCAGUUGCGAAGGCGGCUCUCUGGGACGGUACUGACGCUGAGACGCGAAAGCGUGGGGAGCGAACAGG
rnacentral:rRNA from 1 species